rnacentral:rRNA from 1 species
GACGAACGCUGGCGGCGUGCCUAAUACAUGCAAGUCGAGCGGACUGAAUGGGAGCUUGCUCUUGUUCGGUCAGCGGCGGACGGGUGAGUAACACGUGGGCAACCUGCCCGCAAGACCGGGAUAACUCCGGGAAACCGGAGCUAAUACCGGAUAACACCGAAGACCGCAUGGUCUUUGGUUGAAAGGCGGCGCAAGCUGCCACUUGCGGAUGGGCCCGCGGCGCAUUAGCUAGUUGGUGAGGUAACGGCUCACCAAGGCGACGAUGCGUAGCCGGCCUGAGAGGGGGACCGGCCACACUGGGACUGAGACACGGCCCAGACUCCUACGGGAGGCAGCAGUAGGGAAUCUUCCGCAAUGGGCGAAAGCCUGACGGAGCGACGCCGCGUGAGCGAAGAAGGCCUUCGGGUCGUAAAGCUCUGUUGUGAGGGACGAAGGAGCGCCGUUUGAAGAAGGCGGCGCGGUGACGGUACCUCACGAGGAAGCCCCGGCUAACUACGUG